ensembl:lncRNA
CAGCGUUGGGUUAAUCAACUCUGAGUAUGUUCACUCUGGGUUGAGGGCGUGCCUGUUGACUAUGAAGAGCAAUCAUCAAUGGAUCUCUGAUAACAUGAUCAAACAUGGACCAAAAGCGUAGAUCCACUUACUUUUCCCCCACGGAAUUGGAAAUUCUAAUGAACGUGUAUGCCGAGCAGUUACCCAUUUUAACCAAAAAAAGCAAUACCGCCGCGGCAGCGAGAGCGUCUUGAGAGCUUGGCAGGAAAUAGCUGAACAAGUCAAUGCUUGCCCCACGAGGACUUGGCAGCAAAUGAAGUACAAAAAUAUAGUUUAAACAGCAAAUCGAAAAAAUGCAGAGGCCCGGCAGACUGGAGGGGGUCCACCACCUGCAGCCCUCACAGAGGCUGAGGAGAUGGCCCUCAGCCAACAGAGUAUGCGUCCUGUGGCUGAGGGCAUCCCUGGGGGGAGCUCCUCUGAACCCCCCCCCCCCAGGAUAGAAGUGCCUUUACAGUAUAAGAGGUUGGUUAUUCAAAAUAAUUAGAUAUGUACACGCAACCCAGCGCGUUGCAAAUUAGAUGGGGCAAUUUUCUGGCUCAAGUAAUAAUUGCACUGUCUAAUCAUCUUCUUCCAGUUACUGAUGGCGUCAUCGCCCUACUUGAACCAGAUGCCCUCACCAACCUCCAUGCAAUUGUAACAAUUCAAAAGAUGCAAAAGGAUGCUUUGGAGAUCCAAAUUUUGGAACAUAAGUUAUAGUUGAAGCCUGCAGACGGAAGGCAGUGGCAGACAUGGCGUGUCCUUUUACUGAAGAGCCAGUUGAUGUCGAGGCGCAGAU